rnacentral:rRNA from 1 species
UGGGGAAUUUUGGACAAUGGGCGAAAGCCUGAUCCAGCAAUGCCGCGUGUGUGAAGAAGGCCUUCGGGUUGUAAAGCACUUUUGUCCGGAAAGAAAUCCUUGGCUCUAAUACAGUCGGGGGAUGACGGUACCGGAAGAAUAAGCACCGGCUAACUACGUGCCAGCAGCCGCGGUAAUACGUAGGGUGCAAGCGUUAAUCGGAAUUACUGGGCGUAAAGCGUGCGCAGGCGGUUUGCUAAGACCGAUGUGAAAUCCCCGGGCUCAACCUGGGAACUGCAUUGGUGACUGGCAGGCUAGAGUAUGGCAGAGGGGAGUAGAAUUCCACGUGUAGCAGUGAAAUGCGUAGAGAUGUGGAGGAAUACCGAUGGCGAAGGCAGCCCCCUGGGCCAAUACUGACGCUCAUGCACGAAAGCGUGGGGAGCAAACAGGAUUAGAUACCCUGGUAGUCCACGCCCUAAACGAUGUCAACUAGUUGUUGGGGACUUCAUUUCCUUAGUAACGUAGCUAACGCGUGAAGUUGACCGUC